rnacentral:rRNA from 1 species
UGGGGAAUUUUGGACAAUGGGCGCAAGCCUGAUCCAGCCAUGCCGCGUGAGUGAAGAAGGCCUUCGGGUUGUAAAGCUCUUUCGGCGGGGACGAAACGGUUCGUGACAACACCACGGACUAAUGACGGUACCCGCAUAAGAAGCACCGGCUAACUACGUGCCAGCAGCCGCGGUAAUACGUAGGGUGCAGGCGUUAAUCGGAAUUACUGGGCGUAAAGGGUGCGCAGGCGGUUUGUUAAGACAGGUGUGAAAUCCCCGGGCUUAACCUGGGAAUUGCGCUUGUAACUGGCAGGCUAGAGUGUGGCAGAGAGGGGUGGAAUUCCACGUGUAGCAGUGAAAUGCGUAGAUAUGUGGAGGAACACCGAUGGCGAAGGCAGCCCCCUGGGUUAACACUGACGCUCAUGCACGAAAGCGUGGGGAGCGAACGGGAUUAGAUACCCCCGUAGUCCCUGAGCGGGCUGGCAAGGCGCAU